GGAAAGCGUCAAACAGUGGAGAGCUCUGUUUAUGCUGAGGUGAAGACAGGAUCUGCUGCAGAUGACAGUCUAACGUAUGCUCAGGUUAACCAUGACAUUAAAGGCAAAGCCAAGAAACACAAAGGAAAAUCAGCUCCUGCAGCAACUGAUGAAGCUGUUUAUUCUGAAGUUAAACCAGGAACAGCUCAUGGUCUGUAAAGACAGCUGUGUGGACAAGGCCAAAUAAAUAUGGUUAACAGCCUUUUAUAACCAUUGUGUGCAUCUCUGCUAUCCAAAUAUCAGCCAUGCUCAAUGCUUCGUACAGUUAAUAUAAUAAGAUUAUAUGAAAUAAAUACAUCAUGUGGAUUUAAUACUUUGUUUUUUAGCAGAAAGCACAAGACUACUGAGGUUUAUGUAGUAUUUAUGCACUGUAUUAUUAUUUUAUUUGUAGUUAUUUUGUUACUUAAUUUUAAAAGUUUGAUUGCAGCUAUUUCAAAAAGCAGCAGGAGGUAUCAGUUUGAAAUGUGUAAAUGAUAUUAACCAGGUGAUACUGCAGCUUUAAACUCAGCA